CUCCGCUGUAACAGAGUCUUUUUCUAACUCCAGGAUCUUUUCUUUGUGUGCUCUGUAGAAUGAAGUGUGCUUGUUUUGGUGGGGAUACAUUUACACAGUUCUCCAUGUUUUGUUUCAUCUUUCCUCUCCGUGUUGUUGCUCUCUUUUUCCUUUGCUCUAUCCAAAGAUAUCAGCCAAAGAAGCCAAGAAAAAUGUUAUCUUUACUUUAGAAUUAGGGAUUUCAGAUAUGGGUAGAUGGCUCUGUUAGGCAGAAGUGUCAGAGCUGGUUAUAGGAAAACCAGGCGGCACAUACAUGAUCCCAGACACCGAAGUAACCUCUGUCUCACUCCUCCACUUCCAGCAAGGUAUUGUGCUCUGAGGGGCUGAUGAGAGAAGGGAUGGAAAACAAACUGAAACUGGCUCAAGUGAAUGCUCACUGGAAGGCUUACUGGAAAACUUACUGGAAGGAUGUGAGGACAUGUUCGGGAAUCUAUUUGCAGAAAACAUAUUCAGCCCUGUCCACCACAGCCAGCUGGCUGAAGAGCUCAAAAGGCAAGAAAUCAGCAAGAGAGAGAGAUGAAGCAUGAGAAAUGAGCAAAAAACACCCAGCACAUCAUAAUCUUGGACAGUUUAGCAGUACAUGAAAAUAGAUGGUCCUCGCCCCAAGGGACUGCAGUAACCCUGAAUAAACAGGAUGUCUCUCACUUUUAGCAGUUCUUUCUGUGCUAGUAUUGGGGAAAUAUAUUUUUGGCUGCAUGCAAAAUGGUAAAAGACAUCUAUUAAGAAAAUGAAAACAAUGCUUCUGUUUUAGACGAAGCUUUUGAAGGUUUAAGGAUCACCUAUUUAUUGACAAAAUUGUUUCCGUGGCUUAAAAAUAAAAUACAAACAAAUACUACAGGUAUUCUUGCCUUCUCAUUCUACUUAAAAUCACAUUUCCAAAGACUUUCUUCUCUACUUAAAAACAGGAAUUAAGAAAUACUCAAAAGAGAUCCUAGACAAAACUAACAUUUCAGCAACCAAAGAUAAAUCAUGCUUUUAGAGGAAGAUGCUAGGUUCUAGAAUCUCUCUGAACACCGUGUAGCACUAAGAAACUACAAUCACUGGCUGAGACCUUGAUCAAAUAAUGGCUAACAUAUAAGAUGCUUAUUCUAGUCAGGCACACUUCUAAGAGCUGUAUAUCUGCUAAUUCAUUUAUUCUCCUAGGAUAUAAAGGAUCAGCAGAUCCUUCAGGCUCUGGUAUGUUCUGAGAUGAGUUAACCCAGAAAUUGUCAUCAAAAGACAGAUUCAGCAAAACGGAAA
rnacentral:lncRNA from 10 species